CUCAAAGAGUUACACACUAAUCUACCCUAAAUACAGAAAAGGAACUCAGCACAUAUAAAGCCUAAACAUGUGCUGUAAUAUUUACUUACCUCCAUAUUGUGCACACAUUUUGUUGUAUAAAAGCCUAAACAUGUGCCCACAUUACCAAUCAGGAGGAAUAGCAAGUAAUACAGUAGAAAAGGACAGUGAAGAUAGGCUACUAUUCAGAAGAAAUCUCUUAAAAUUAAAUAUCCAUUAACCUCGAUACAUGAACUUUGUACCUACAUUACCAAACUCGAUAUAGAGAGGAUAGAUACCUUCCUUCUCAAAACAAAAUAGCAGGAUGAGACAGGG